GAUGAACGCUGGCGGCGUGCCUAAUACAUGCAAGUCGAGCGAACAGACGAGGAGCUUGCUCCUCUGACGUUAGCGGCGGACGGGUGAGUAACACGUGGAUAACCUACCUAUAAGACUGGGAUAACUUCGGGAAACCGGUGCUAAUACCGGAUAAUAUCUUAAACCGCAUGGUUCAAUAGUAAAAGAUGGUUUUGCUGUCACUUAUAGAUGGAUCCGCGCCGCAUUAGCUAGUUGGUAAGGUAACUGCCUACCAAGGCAACGAUGCGUAGGCGACCUGAGAGGGUGAUGGGACACACUGGAAGUGAGACACGGCCCAGACCUCUACGAGACGGAGGAGGAGGGUAUCUUGCGCAAUGGGAGAAAGCCUGACGGAGAAACGGCGCGAGAGUGAUGAAGUUUCUCGGAGCAUAGAUCUGUGUUUAGGGGGAAAAACAAAUGUGUAAGUAAAUAUGCACGUCUUGACGGUACCUAACCAGAAAGCCACGGCUAACUACGUG
rnacentral:rRNA from 1 species